UUCCGGUUGAUCCUGCCGGAGGUCAUUGCUAUUGGAGUCCGAUUUAGCCAUGCUAGUUGCACGAGUUCAGACUCGUAGCAGAUAGCUCAGUAACACGUGGCCAAACUACCCUGUCGAUCCAGAUAACCUCGGGAAACUGAGGCUAAUAUGGAAUACGGCUCACUACCUGGAGUGGUAUGAGCUCGAAAUGCUCCGGCGCGACAGGAUGUGGCUGCGGCCGAUUAGGUAGACGGUGGGGUAACGGCCCACCGUGCCCAUAAUCGGUACGGGUUGUGAGAGCAAGAGCCCGGAGACGGUAUCUGAGACAAGAUACCGGGCCCUACGGGGCGCAGCAGGCGCGAAACCUUUACACUGCACGCGAGUGCGAUAAGGGGACUCCGAGUGCGAGGGCAUAUAGUCCUCGCUUUUCACCACCGUAAGGAGGUGGUAGAAUAAGUGCUGGGCAAGACCGGUGCCAGCCGCCGCGGUAAUACCGGCAGCACGAGUGAUGACCGCUAUUAUUGGGCCUAAAGCGUCCGUAGCCUGCCGCGCAAGUCUGUCGGGAAAUCUCUCUGCUUAACAGAGAGGCGUCCGGCAGAAACUGUGUGGCUUGGGACCGGAAGAUCCAGAGGGUACGUCCGGGGUAGGAGUGAAAUCCCGUAAUCCUGGACGGACCACCGGUGGCGAAAGCGCUCUGGAAAGACGGAUCCGACGGUGAGGGACGAAAGCUCGGGUCACGAACCGGAUUAGAUACCCGGGUAGUCCGAGCUGUAAACGAUGCCCGCUAAGUUUGGUACAGGCCACGAGCCUGUACUGAGCUGUAGGGAAGCCGUGAAGCGGGCCGCCUGGGAAGUACGUCUGCAAGGAUGAAACUUAAAGGAAUUGGCGGGGGAGCACUACAACCGGAGGAGCCUGCGGUUUAAUUGGACUCAACGCCGGA
rnacentral:rRNA from 1 species